GCACCAGAACUGUUUUCCUUGUGAUGUUUUAUUGUAUUAACUCUUUGGAGCCACUGCAUUCAACAGAGCUGGCAAACAGUGGGGUUUUGCUUUUUGGACCUGGAACAGCUACCUGAAGUGCAGAGCCUGGACCAGACACCUCCCAGAUGUGCUGCCAGAUAGGACAAGAGGCACUGAAUUGUGCAGGAGGCAAUGGAUGUGAGCUGGCAUGCAGGAAAUUCAGAUUAGAUAUUAGCCAAGAUUUUUUUUCAUGAGAAAGGCAGUGAAAAGAUGGGAGCAGGACCCCACAGAGGCUGCAGUCUCUACCAUUGGCGAUGCUCAAGCCCGUUUAGACAAGGCUCUGCACAGCCGGAUUUAAUUGGCACUGCUCCACGCAGGGCUUGCCCUACAUGACCCUGAGCUCCCUCCCAUUCCAAAUUACUCUGCGAGUCUGUGAUCAGCACGGAGAACAAGGGGGACAGGAAGGCAGCGUCGUCAAUUCGACCAGCUCUCCACAUUCACCUCAUGCCGGAGCCAGCUGAGACCAGGAGGGAUCCUCAGACGUCUUGCGCCAGCAGCCAGGUGAGCAAGUAGAUGGCUGGAGAGGACCAGCACAACUGUACCUAGCUGUGAGUAAAGAAGGCUGAAGUAAGAUCCUGGUGUUUGUUUGAACUACAGCAAGAUAUCCAGUCGUUCAAGAAUGGACCAACCAUCUUAUUUGGGUACCUGCUGCAUCGUCAUCUGUGGAUGUGUCUCCUUUCCUCCUCACCAUGGGUGGUCCAGUGGCACAGGAUAGUUGGGGCAGCUGACAAAGAACUGAGAAACUACUGAGGAAGUUGAAAAGAGACACUCACCAGCCUACAGAAAGCUGUGCGGAACAGGGGAAUGCAAUGUGUGGAGGCCAGCACGGCCUGCCAUCGUUUUGUACACAGACAGCCCUGCCUGCAGCAGAUGUGCUUGGCAAACCGGCAAAGCUGAGAGCACCAGUGAGAGCGAAUUGGAUGGCUGUGAGGAAAAAUACGUUUUGCUGUGGCUGCACUGCUAUGAAAAUAGCCUAACGUGCCUAUGGGACUGCCUGUGAGUGUCUAACUAACACAGCAGGCCGAAGCGAAAGGUGUCAAUUUGCUGUGGCACAAGGUAUGCAUGCAGCAACUGGCGGCAAAUGUGUAUGUGAGUGUGAGAGGCUGAGUCCAUCCCUGCAUCUACAGCAAGGUUCAGGAGGAAACAGUUCAACACUGAGUAAGCAGUUCAGAUGGUCUAUUUGUGUGCCUUUCCCAGCACACAAAAGGGUUUGUGAUGGGGGGCUGUCGGUACCGCUGGUGGGGCAACAAAUACCCCAGAGGUGCCAUGGCCAAAGCACCUGAGGUGGGCUCCAAUGCCACGUCCACAACAGCUCAUGCAGCUGGGCAAGGAGCAGCCUGCUGGGCAAGAAUAAGCACCUUCAGAGCUGGUCAGCUGCUCCUGGUGUUGUUCAGAGCAAGUUUGGAGCUUCAGCAACCAAAUUCUGCCUCAGAUUCCCUGCCCAUGUCCUCUGUGAUGUGGCUGGGGCAGCAUGGACCCAGCCAGAGAGCAAGCCUCUUCACGAUAACUGGACACCCUUCUGCUUGCCACGUGAUAAUGGCACACAAUUGGACUUGAAGCACUUUAGGACAACUCCAACGAGGAGAAAUCCCCACCAGAGGACUAGCUGGUAACCCUGCUUCUGCUGAAACACACAGCGAAGGGCCUGCCACAGCUCCAUCCCACCAGUGCUACUCUGCCUACCUCUCCUGUGAGUCCUGAUACGCAUUUCCUCCUGUUCUCAGAUGCAGAAGGUUCGGGAGAGUUUUCUCCAAGGCCACAGCUAUCAUCGGUCCUGUAAAUGAUUGCAGUGGCACCAGCUCCUGUCCUUGACUGUGCUUCUUUGUCAAGCGAGGCAGUGAUAGCAAUCACUCUGGUGUUUAGCAAACCCGCAGAUCACUAUUGCCAAUCUUUGUAUAAACAAGAACUAAUUAAUCUUCACCACAUCUCUCUAAAGAAGGAUGCCAGCAGAAACUGAGACUGCUCUUUGAUUCAGCGAUAAUGAGUGAACAUUGCACCAACGACAUUUACAUUUUGCCAGUGGUAUGAAAAAACACAAGACUAUUCUUCUGAGUUCAGAUUUAGGCCCCCAAACGCACGCUGAUUUCCUGAAGUUGGAGCGCUCUGAGGCUGCUAUUGAUGUGAAUGAACAUCUUGGCAAUUUAGCAAAAGAUGACAUCAGACAUGAAAGAGAGAGCACCGCACAGAGAUGACGUGAAGUUUGCAUAAUUAAUGCUGCAUCAAAUCUCUUGCUAUGGGAAACGAGGAAAAGCCACACGAGGUGUGGGCACGGGCUACUCUCCUUGCUCCUUCUCUCGAAGCCAGCUUGCCCAGGUCUGCCCAAAAUCUUCCACACCACAGCCACCGAGCAUGAGGACAACCGCUGGCAGGAGUGAGCCUGCACCAGGCCCCACAGCAAUAUCACUUUCAUCAUCUGUGGAGUCGGUACAGCUAGAAAGAAAGCAAUCCUCCUUUGUCUUGGACUUUCAGCUGGACCAAUGCCUUCUGCUUGAGAAGAGCCGUGCUGCUCCCCCAGAGGCCAGGCUGCACCGCCGUUACGCCUUGCUGCCUCACCUCCCUGCAUGAGAGAAA